rnacentral:tRNA from 1 species
AGUAAAGUCAGCUAAUCAAGCUUUCGGGCCCAUACCCCGAAAAUGUCGGUUAAAAUCCCUCCUAUACUA